rnacentral:lncRNA from 1 species
AGGGAACGUACAGUACUCCAGGAAUUUAAAAAACAGGUUAGGAACCCUGAUUUCCAUGCUGGCUUAAGUCAAGUGCGUUACCUGUUGAACCAACGCGCCUCUUUGUACCGUGGCCACGUCUUGCCUGUGACCUGCAGCGGGUGUUCAACCACUUUUUCAGUAUCUGCUGUGCAGUACCAGCCUGGCCUAAUCUUCCUUCUCUCGUUGUCCUGAGGCCCCAAAGUGUUUGGCAUCCAGGGAGUGCAGCUCUUAAGGACCAUACACAGUGCAAAGUGGUAAAGGCUGAGACCCUAUUCGUCUUUCAAGCCCUGCCUGUCUAG